rnacentral:rRNA from 1 species
CCUACGGGUGGCAGCAGUAGGGAAUAUUGCUCAAUGGGGGAAACCCUGAAGCAGCAACGCCGCGUGGAGGAUGAAGGUUUUCGGAUUGUAAACUCCUUUUGUUAGAGAAGAUAAUGACGGUAUCUAACGAAUAAGCACCGGCUAACUCCGUGCCAGCAGCCGCGGUAAUACGGAGGGUGCAAGCGUUACUCGGAAUCACUGGGCGUAAAGAGCGCGGAGGCGGGAGAGCAAGUCAGAUGUGAAAUCCUAGGGCUUAACCAUAGAACUGCAUUUGAAACUGUGAUUCUAGAGUAUGGGAGAGGUAGGUGGAAUUCUUGGUGGAGGGGUAAAAUCCGUAGAGAUCAAGAGGAAUACUCAUUGCGAAGGCGACCUGCUAGAACAUAACUGACGCUGAGGCGCGAAAGCGUGGGGAGCAAACAGGAUUAGAUACCCGUGUAGUC